CUCAUGUCCAUGUUCAUACUUAUACCUGUUAUCUCAUACAUGUUUGACAAACUAAAAAAAAUAAAAUAAAUAAAUAUGGUAAGUCAAAUUAUUCCAUUCAAUUAACUCAGAAGUCAGCUCAACUGGAUUCGAUAGAAUUUGUUUCCAACAAGUGCCACGUAAGCUUGGCCUCUAGCCUGAAAAACUCUAAUUCAUCUUAUUCUUGUUAUGCAAGGGCUGUCCUCAACAUGUUUAGAUUAACAUAUAUUAAUAGGUUUGCUGAGAGACAGGUAAAGAACAUUCUGAUAUAUACAAAUUAUCAUCAUUAUGUUAUCUUUGGAUCAUCUGUUCUUGCUCUCCACAUGCAUGGUGGAGUUAAAAUUCUUUUUCUAAAACAAAGAAGAUUAUUCAAACAAUCUAUUUUCUGUGCUCCGAGACUCCAUAAUCGUUGAGAAACCCAUAGACGAUGAAAUAAAGCAACAGAAAAGAAGAAAGGUCACACCGAUUAUUGCUUGUUUUGUAGAUAUUUCAACAAUGGACUAAAUUAUUUUAUAACAGUUUGGCUGCAUCAAUUAUUGGCUGUUACAGGCCUGAAACAUGACUGGAAGGGGUCUGGAUAACUCAUUUCCUCCAGGAUGCCCUGAAGCUGCCAAGCAACUACCUUCUCCUCCAUCUUCCUUAAAAAGCCAAGGUGAGAGACUGGACAGAAAUUGUCAUCAAACAGGUGGGAUCAAGUGAUUUUUUUUUUAAGAAGAGUGAACUAGGGCCUCCUUAAAAGGUUCCAGAAAGAACAAUUUAUUACUGCCUGAAACCACCUGGCUAUCACUAUCCUGGAAACUUGGGGAUAUAUCUGACAGGUGGUUGUGCUGACAACUUCAAAGACUCUGUCCACUUCAUCUGUCCAACAGGAUCAAACUGAUUCCAGAAAACCAGGUGUUCAGCAAAUUCCUCUGGACAGCCCUGAAGAUGAUCACCCAAACUUUCUUGUCCCAGGAGGGACCAGGUGAUCCUGAACAGGGGCUCAAGGCAACACUUUGUGGACAUAAUAAGGGUGGAAAAAUAAUGGUGUUUCUCUUCUCUUACCUCCAUUGGGUGAGUUUACAACAUUCUCCAUCCCCUUCGUAUUACUCAUUUAAAGAUUCUGGUAAACCUGACAGGUAGAGAGAAAUUGGCUUUCAAAGAAGCCGGAAGUUUGUCGGUGCUUCAUCACUAGAGGUUUUUAAGAAGAGACUGGACAGUCACUUGUCUGAAAUGGAUGGGGUCUCCUGCUUGAGCAGAGGCAGAGGAAUUGUUCUUCUGAUGAUUUGAUGCCCACACAAAACUCACCUGAGAAGAGGACAGAAUUAUUUUUACCUCAGUAGUUGUUAAGGAAGAUGAGCAGGAAAGCUGUCCCUUGAUGCAUCUGUGAGAGAUCGAAAGGGACAAUGGGGCCUUGUCAUCUGGCAAGAAGGAACAAAAGCCUAAAUUUGGACUGUAAUGUUUCUGCUAAUGAGAAAGUCUGUCCUGAACCCCAGAGGAGAAAGAAAUGGAAGAAGGAUGCUUCAAUUUCUGAACAUUGUAAAUGUUAGAGAUGCAUGUUGACACUUCUAGAUGUGAAAUUACCAUGGAAACAUUUCACAAACUCUUGCUUCCCACCCAUCAAGUGAGAGGAAAGUAAAGCCAGUUUCACCGUGGCACAGAAUAAACGAAGAAACAUAUUGAUUCAUGUAGCAGAAUAACAGAGUCUGGAAGGGACCUUCUUGGAAGUCUUCUAAUCCAACCCUCUACUCAAGCAGGAAACCCCAUACUUCAUAUUAAUAGUGAUUAAAUAUAUCGACAUGAAGCAUAGGUUGUUAAAUCAGAUGGAUUAUUUAAGCAGUAUUAGAACUGGCACUGGCAAAGAGCACUUUCAAAAUGUUAUAUAAUUCUGAAGACCAUAUCUGUCGGUCAAUUGCCAGCUGUAAGAAGGCAGGAGAGCAUCAUAGCCUUAGAAGAUUUUAACUUCCAGGUAAAAAGGUAAGCUAUUGAAUAAUUAGGUCAUGGCACAACACUUAAACAGAUAGGAAUGGCUUGCUGGAAUUAAAAGGUUGGGAAAGGCUUGAUACAAAGAUUUCACUGUCGCCUCUGGACAUUAGAACUGGAUUUUGAUAUUUAAGCAUUUGAAGCACAAGGUAAAUGUCCUCCCUGCCUCUUAUUUUUACUAGGGCUGACCUUUCAGCAGAACAGGAAAUCCCCUUGCGAGUGAAUUCCCAUAACCAGUCCCUUUGCUGUUUAGUCUACAUCAGAUCGAGUGGUGGCUUGCUCAGCCUUUUGAUUGGCAACUGAAGUCCUAUCAAAACAAAUGUACAGAAGGUUCUUACUAGAAAAGCCCGGCUACCCCCACCGAUGAUUUCAGCUUUAUUUGGACUGAAACCUGAUGAUAGCACUGCUAGACAGGAAGCGCUCUUCCCUAACAUAUCCUUAACAGGAUGACACAGUUUCUCACAGAAUGAACAGCAGUGGAGAAACUCAACCCAUUGCUUGUCCCGGGAUAUUUUUUUUUAAAAAGAAGAAUGCUAAAGUUGGGGGAGGGGUGAAAUUAUUUUCUUUCGGGUCAUCCUUAAUGGUUAGGUAAAUAAGAAUUAUAAAAUUUAAACAGCACAUGAUGUUAGGAAAGGGAUAGAAGAUCGCUGAAUGGUAACUGCCAGGUAAGAUUGAUUUACACUGAUUUUCAUGGAGGUACCUAGUGUGAGGGGCAGGGUGGCUCAGUGGCUAAGACGCUGAGCUUGUCAAUCAGAAGGUUGGCAGUUCAGCGGUUCGAAUCCCAAGCGCUGUAAAACGGAGUGAGCUCCCGUUACUUGUCCCAGCUUCUGCCAACCUAGCAGUUCGAAAGCACGUAAAAAAUGCAAGUAGAAAAAUAGGGACCACCUUUGGUGGGAAGGUAACAGCGUUCCGUGCGCCUUUGGUGUUGAGUCAUGCCAGCCACUCGACCACAGAGAUGUCUUCGCACAGCGCUGGCUCUUCGACUUAGAAAUGGAGAUGAGCACUGCCCCCUAGAGUCGGGAACAACUAGCACGCCUGUGUGGGGGAACCUUUAUCUUUACCUUACCUAUUUAUUUAUUUAUUUAUUAAUCAUAUUUGUAUCCCGCCCUUCUCCCGAAGGACUCAGGGCGGUUAACAGCCAAUUUAAAAACACAAUAUCCAACAAGUUAAAACAAGAUAAAAUUAAUAUAACUUAUGGCCGAAUUAUCUAAAAACUAAACAGUAACAAUCUAAAACCCCAUUAAAACAGCAUUAGUGAGUACUAGUGAGUUUGAACUGAAUACGAAAGGAGUUUUAGUAGGGAGUGCUUGGAGGAGACAGUGAUUUCAUGAUUUUUCCCUCCUAGUUUCUUGUGCUUCAGAUUCCCAACCAUCUGUUCUGGAGAUUCUCCAUGACGUCAUGCAAUAAUGUCUUACAGUGUUAUAAACGGGAAAGGAAAUCAAUCAAAAUCAUUUAUUCUACAUUUACUGAUGCUUCUUCUGGGUUGAAGGUUUUCUUGAAAUGAAGAGAAAUCCUUUCUAUCUAACACGAAGUGUUUCUAAGGAAUUUUAUAUUUGGACUGAAUAUGCCUUCCAUUUGGAAGGUGUUCUUGAGUGAUGGCUCAGAUUGCGAUGGAGUGGGAGAAGUCAAUUCUGCUGCAUCUCCAAGCUAUUAAGUGGCUGAAUAAUGAAAUUAUUACAGUUCAUGGCAAAUAUUCAUUUGGAAAAGUCUAUCAGUAGGGAAGUCCAAUGAGGAAAAAGGCAGACUAAAAUAGUGUAUCUCAGACAGACAAAAUGCUUUAUCCCAUGUCUGUAAUAUAGAUAUGUAAUCCUUCCUUUAAAUAUUUAGUGAAUUAUUUCUCAUGGUACACUAGCCUACUCCAGCAUAUAGUUUAAAAAUAAAUUCUCUCUAGAUAUUAUAAUGAAAUGUUAUAUUUAAUGCAUAGUAGGUAUGUAUAUAAAAUGUAUUGAUUAUAUAAAUAAAUAUGUAACAAACAAAAUGCAUAUGUAUAUAAUGUAUAUAAUCGGCCGAAAGAUAGUGGAUAUUACUAAAACGCCGGUAUUGGA